UCCAAAUGCCAGGGAUGCUGGACUUCACUGCAGACUCUCCAACACUUUCCCAACAGAUUAUGUUCCACCACAUGUCCCUCGAUCUCAGUCUCUACCACAGACUGUGUCAUGCCACCAGGAACGGCAGCAAGCCCCGUUGCUUUGGCAUUCCCCAGACCCUGCUAAGGAAGUUUUUGGACAUACUGGCAGCCUCCGAUGACACUUCCAGUGAUACACAGACCCCAGACAGAGUUUGUGGAUUCUUAUUUGAGUUUCUGAGGAACACGCUCAUAAAUGUUAUGUGCUGCUGGCCACUUAUUAAUAUCUACUUUAACUGGGUUUUUUCUAGCAUUCCUGUAUCAGAUUGAGUAAUGUAGUAUCAGCCCAAUAUUGAAUCAAAAGUAUGAAGGAGGCGGAAAAAGAUGGGAUGCGGAAGAAAAAUGACAUUUUUUUUUUUUUAAUUUGAACCAGAUCCGGUUCGUAGCAGAACAGAGCUGCGAAAGCAACUACUGAGUUGUGGAAAGCUGCUAACGCUGUGAGGGUGAGCCGUGGAUUACCAGAAGCCAGGUCUGCUGCUGCAGAAGUCCAGCCCGAGGACUGCCUUCCGAGCUUGCCCCCUGCAGCGGCGAAGGCAGCGAGGUCCAGCGUCAGGAGGAGGGGACCCCUUUGGUGCCUGCACGCCCCAGCCUGCUGCAGGGAUGAAGGGCUGAACACAUUGCCUGCUGCGGAAGAAGAAGAAGACAACCCAUCCACAGUGAAGUGCACAUCUGGAAUAAGGACAAGGACCAGGACAAAUAUGGUGUGUUGCUUUUCUGAUGCUUUAUAAAUUUCCAUCUACUUCUCUUCUAUUAACUUCACAGUAAAAAGUUAUGCUUUGUUAAUAUAGACGAAUGUGAUUUUAUUUGAACUUUUC